rnacentral:sRNA from 1 species
UUUUUUGGAUUUUUUC